UCUCUCUCUCUCUCUCUAUAUAUAUAUAUAUAUAUAUAUAUAUAUAUAUAUCCUCUCUCUCUCUCUCCCUCUCUCUCUCUUUCUCUCUCUCUCUCUCUCUUUUCUUGCAAAUUGGUGCUAGAUUUGAAGGUUUAUAAGUUGCUUCUCCCUAAGAAUUUUUUGGUAUAUGUCUUAAGACUUAAAAAAAAACUUAUAUAUAAGUGAAGAUUAGCGUUUUUGGUGGUUUAACCUUGCUUGGUGGAUACUUGUAGAGAGCUUCUCCUUUGGAGCUUCAUGCAUCACUUCAUCAACUUCCAUCUUCCAUGGGAAUCUAAAUCGUCAAAUGUACUUUUGGUUCAAAAGGAAAGAGCUUGGCAUGAUCGCAUUGCACACCCCAGAUUUUAUUUAUGUAUUACCCUUUGAUUUUCUAUUGUUGUUUGAGGAUACAUUAUCAUAUUCCGAUUAUCUUUUUAUUGGAAAUGAAUGAAUGUUGGUUUUUGGAUUAUUCUAAAAAUAAUUUUUUUACCA